UACGGGGGGGGCAAGCGUUGUUCGGAAUUACUGGGCGUAAAGGGCUCGUAGGCGGCCAACUAAGUCGGACGUGAAAUCCCCAGGCUCAACCUGGGAACUGCGUCCGAUACUGGAUGGCUUGAAUCCGGGAGAGGGAUGCAGAAUUCCAGGUGUAGCGGUGAAAUGCGUAGAUAUCUGGAGGAAUACCGGUGGCGAAGGCGGCAUCCUGGACCGGCAUUGACGCUGAGGAGCGAAAGCGUGGGUAGCGAACAGG
rnacentral:rRNA from 1 species